rnacentral:misc_RNA from 1 species
GAUGAAGAACGCAGCGAAAUGCGAUACUUGGUGUGAAUUGCAGAAUCCCGUGAACCAUCGAGUCUUUGAACGCAAGUUGCGCCCGAAGCCACUAGGCCGAGGGCACGCCUGCCUGGGCGCCACACGCCGUUGCCCCCCCAUCUACUCCUUCGGGAUUGCGGGGGGGCGGAUGAUGGCCUCCCGUGCGCCUAGCCGCGCGGUUGGCAUAAAUACCAAGUCCUCGGCGACGCACGCCACGACAAUCGGUGGUUGCGAAACCUCGGUUGCCCGUCGUGUGCGUUCGUCGCGCAUCGAGGGCUCGAAAAAAUGCUCGGCUCCGGCUGGGCUUUCAACGCGACCCCAGGUCAGGCGGGGUUACCCGCUGAAUUUAAGCAUAUCAAUAAGCGGAGGA